GCCCUGGCAGUCAGAGGCGAUGAAGGGCGUGCUAAUCUGCGAUAAGCGCCGGUAAGGUGAUAUGAACCGUUAUAACCGGCGAUACCCGAAUGGGGAAACCCAGUGUGAUUCGUCACACUAUCAUUAACUGAAUCCAUAGGUUAAUGAGGCGAACCGGGGGAACUGAAACAUCUAAGUACCCCGAGGAAAAGAAAUCAACCGAGAUUCCCCCAGUAGCGGCGAGCGAACGGGGAGGAGCCCAGAGCCUGAAUCAGCAUGUGUGUUAGUGGAAGCGUCUGGAAAGGCGCGCGAUACAGGGUGACAGCCCCGUACACAAAAGCGCAUGUGCUGUGAGCUCGAUGAGUAGGGCGGGACACGUGGUAUCCUGUCUGAAUAUGGGGGGACCAUCCUCCAAGGCUAAAUACUCCUGACUGACCGAUAGUGAACCAGUACCGUGAGGGAAAGGCGAAAAGAACCCCGGCGAGGGGAGUGAAAAAGAACCUGAAACCGUGUACGUACAAGCAGUGGGAGCACAGGUUUACCUGUGUGACUGCGUACCUUUUGUAUAAUGGGUCAGCGACUUAUAUUCUGUAGCAAGGUUAACCGAAUAGGGGAGCCG
rnacentral:rRNA from 1 species